ensembl:Mt_tRNA
UAGAGUGUGGUGUAGUGGGUAGCACGGAGAAUUUUGAGUUCUCAGGGGUGGGUUCGAGACCCAGAGCUCUAG